CACCGCCCGUCACACCAUGGGAGUGGGCUGCACCAGAAGCCAGUAGCUUAACCGAAAGGAGGGCGCUGACCACGGUGUGGUUCAUGACUGGGGUG
rnacentral:rRNA from 1 species